GGCUUCCGGGCAGAGGCAAGGGCAAGUGCAAAGGCUGGGCAGCAGGAGCCUGCCUGCCACAUCCAGGGACAGGCGAGAGGCCCAUGUGGCUGCGAACAAUGAGGGAGGGGAAACAGCAGAAGGCUGAUGGUGGGGGGUGUCAGAUUUUUAUGGCUUUGCAGCACUUGGUUCUGACUAGGCGGGGACACCACUGAGAGGGACAGGACUGUAGGGAUGAGAGGGGACGUCAUACAACAGGAGGCUGCUGUGAAGAUCCAGCUGAAGGAGCAUUGUGGCUUGGAGAGUUUUAGAAGUUCGAGUUGUACAGAAGAGCGGCAGGGCCCCCACGGCGCGGGGCCAUCCCAGCGCCGUCUACCUCCACGGCCCCAGACGAGGCCGCCGAGCUUACCGUGAGGUCCAGGGCGGUGGGCAGGCCACCGGCCCGCAGCCACGGGUGGACGUCCUGCAGCUCCUGCCUCUGGCCCUCCGUGAAGCGGGGCUGGGACUUCUGCAUCGCUUUCAGCUUCUCCCGGUCUUCCUUCAACACGGUCUCCAGGUUCCUUCACAAAAUAUUUAGAAAUAGAGCGCCUGGAUGCCUCAGACUGUGAAGCAUCUGCCUUCAGCUCAGGUCAUGAUCUUGGGGUCCUGGGAUCGAGCCCCGCAUCGGGCUCCCUGCUUAGCAGGGAGUCUGCUUCUCCCUCUACCUCCGCCCAACCCCACUUGU